GGAGGGUGCAAGCGUUAAUCGGAAUUACUGGGCGUAAAGCGUACGUAGGCGGUGUGUUAAGCUAGAUGUGAAAGCCCCGGGCUCAACCUGGGAAUAGCAUUUAGAACUGGCACGCUAGAGUCCUGAAGAGGGUGGUAGAAUUUCCAGUGUAGCGGUGAAAUGCGUAGAUAUUGGAAGGAAUACCGGUGGCGAAGGCGGCCACCUGGUCAGAGACUGACGCUGAGGUACGAAAGCGUGGGGAGCAAACAGGAUUAGAUACCCUGGUAGUCCACGCCGUAAACGAUGUCAACUAGUUGUUCGUGUCAUUAAGACGUGAGUAACGCAGCUAACGCACUAAGUUGACCGCCUGGGGAGUACGGCCGCAAGGUUAAAACUCAAAUGAAUUGACGGGGGCCCGCACAAGCGGUGGAGCAUGUGGUUUAAUUCGAUGCAACGCGAAGAACCUUACCAUCCCUUGACAUCCAGUGAAUUUUCCAGAGAUGGAUUAGUGCCUUCGGGAACACUGAGACAGGUGCUGCAUGGCUGUCGUCAGCUCGUGUUGUGAGAUGUUGGGUUAAGUCCCGCAACGAGCGCAACC
rnacentral:rRNA from 1 species